rnacentral:rRNA from 1 species
AUUGAACGCUGGCGGCAGGCUUAACACAUGCAAGUCGAGCGAGCGGCGGACGGGUGAGUAAUGUCUGGGAAACUGCCUGAUGGAGGGGGAUAACUACUGGAAACGGUAGCUAAUACCGCAUACCAUCAGAUGUGCCCAGAUGGGAUUAGCUAGUAGGUGGGGUAAUGGCUCACCUAGGCGACGAUCCCUAGCUGGUCUGAGAGGAUGACCAGUCACCUGGGAACGGAGACACGUCCCAGAUUCCUACGGGAGGAAGCAGUAGGGAAUAUUGCACAAUGGGCGCAAGCCGGAUGCAGCCAUGCCGCGUGUGUGAAGAAGGCCUGCGGGUUGUAAAGCACUUUCAGCGAGGAGGCGUUACUCGCAGAAGAAGCAACGGCUAACUCCGUGCCAGCAGCCGCGGUAAUAC